GUAGCCUAGAAGAGACAUCCAGUUGGGUCCAGUCCUGCAUGUGCUGUAUAUAAUAUCAUUAACCCAAUAUCUGCAAGUGGGGUGAUUUAUAGAUCAAAUCAUCUGCCAAUCACUUUGGCAGUGUUUCGGGUCAUAUUUGUAUAGUGGCGUUGCGCGUUGUAGAAGAUUGCGAUUUGCAACAGUCCGGGCGUUGUGUGAAAUCAGUUUUUUUUAUGCGACAUGGAACGCUUCACUACAGCAAGUAGCAGCAAAGGACGCAAACCUCGCUCAUGCGCAUAGCAGACGAAGAAGCAGUUAAUGAUCUUAACGCUGCUGUGAUCAUCCAUUAUAUGGGCUUGCAAUACAGUUAAUAAUAUAAAAUAACAUUAGGCUAUUGUGUUUUGCUGUCGUGCAUAGGACUACAGUCCACCCAGUCUCCAGCCCUCUGGCAUUUACAGUCAUUCAAAGCAGAUUGUAACGCCAAAAAUAUGGAGCCCCAGACCUACACAUUCGGGUUACUUUCCUGUCGUGGUCAGUGUACCACAGCCCUUCCCUUAAGCCCGUGAGGACAACGAGACAACAGGAGACAGAUAGACUUAGAGUUGAGACUGCCACUACUCACACUCCUAGUGAAGAGGAGACUGCUGACGGAGAGAGGGAGAUCUCCUUUUCCAUCGCUGGCACCUCAGACUGCCUCCACUCAUCUGAAGACUACUUCCAGUCCCAGAUCAAGAAAGAGGGAGACAAGGAGAGCAAAGCAAAAGUCUACUUCUCCACACUUCCACUGGACACAGAUACCUUGGAGACUUGCAGCAUCUACACUUCUGAAAAACUCAACUUCUUAUAGAGCACAGAGAAGAGUGGAGGUAAAGAAAGAGCAGGCGGAGAGAAAAUAGUGGAGGGCGAUAUUGUUAAACUGUUCACGGGUGAUUUCAUAAUUAUAGUGCCUUCGCUUUCAGAACCCUAUUUGGAUCUGUUUGGGUAUUGCAUAUUACUUCCUAUAAUUUCUUUAUUAUCAUGUCAUUAUCAUUCCUUUAAAGAAUGAGAUGAGCAAUAUCCUACAUUUUGGCAUAUCAGUCCUUUGUACAACUGGAUUGGUAAUGUUUUCAAAAAUCAACCUGCCGAUUACUUUCUGAUACCUACCAAGGAACCCUCAGGACCACACAUUUAAACCUGUACUGUAAGCUAUAGAUGACUGUAUAUAUAUAUGUGUAAAUAUAUGGAAGUUAUGUUAGGAUGGAGAAGAGAUGAGGAAUUGUCAGAUUUUGUAAUAGAAUAUGGGAAUUGCCUCUCAAUUUAAAAGCAUAUCUAACUGCAUGUGUUACCUACUAUUAAACAAGUAAAUUAACACAAAAUAAUAAAAAUAUACUUUUAUUAGAUUACAUAUAUUUACAUAAGAUAUACGUUGUUUGUGAUUGCCAUAAAAUGGUGUACAUGAUUCAAUUACGUUACAUUAUUUCACCAGGUAUUCACAUUGUCAUUGAGGUUUUAUAGAAUGGAUUAUAAUAUGUUUGAAGUCAUAUACCGUUCCCAAUGAUUUGUGUAUUAACGUAUCAUUGGUUUGUUAGUCAAGUAAUGAAUAA